UACGUAUGGGGCGAGCGUUAUCCGGAUUCAUUGGGCGUAAAGCGCGCGUAGGCGGAGCGCUAAGCGGGACCUCUAACCCGAGGGCUCAACCCCCGGCCGGGUCCCGAACUGGCGCUCUCGAGUGCGGUAGGGGAGAGCGGAAUUCCCGGUGUAGCGGUGGAAUGCGCAGAUAUCGGGAGGAACACCGACGGCGAAGGCAGCUCUCUGGGCCGAAACUGACGCUGAGGCGCGAAAGCUGGGGGAGCGAACAGG
rnacentral:rRNA from 1 species